rnacentral:rRNA from 1 species
UGGGGAAUAUUGGACAAUGGGGGCAACCCUGAUCCAGCAAUGCCGCGUGUGUGAAGAAGGCCUGAGGGUUGUAAAGCACUUUCGGCGGGGAGGAGGGCAGAUUGGUUAAGAGCUGAUUUGUUGGACGUUACCCGCAUAAGAAGCACCGGCUAACUCCGUGCCAGCAGCCGCGGUAAUACGGAGGGUGCGAGCGUUAAUCGGAAUUACUGGGCGUAAAGGGUGCGUAGGUGGUUGAGUAAGUUAUCUGUGAAAGCCCAGGGCUUAACCUUGGAGGGUCAGAUAAGACUAUUUAGCUAGAGUAUGAGAGAGGGUAGUGGAAUUUCCGGUGUAGCGGUGAAAUGCGUAGAGAUCGGAAGGAACACCAGUGGCGAAGGCGGCUACCUGGCUUAAUACUGACACU